GGGGCGUGCGCUCGGUGGCUCAUAGGGGAAGAUGGCGGCUGCUCUUUUGGAGGAGUGGGAUUGAGAGGGGAGGGAGGAGGCCAGACAGGAGAGAUACUCCUGACUGUGAAGACGAACAUUUCGCUCGCUAGUCAUUAGGAGCUCUGCUCAGCGCCACAGGUGUCCUAGAAGGAAAACAUCACCAUGGCUACAGAAAUUGGUUCUCCUCCUCGUUUUUUCCAUAUGCCAAGGUUCCAACACCAGGCACCUCGACAGCUAUUUUAUAAGCGACCUGAUUUUGCACAGCAGCAAGCAAUGCAACAGCUUACCUUUGAUGGAAAACGAAUGAGAAAAGCAGUAAACCGAAAAACCAUAGACUAUAAUCCAUCUGUAAUUAAGUAUUUGGAGAAUAGAAUAUGGCAAAGAGACCAGAGAGAUAUGCGGGCAAUUCAGCCUGAUGCAGGUUAUUAUAAUGAUCUGGUUCCACCUAUUGGGAUGUUGAAUAAUCCUAUGAAUGCAGUAACAACAAAGUUUGUUCGAACAUCAACAAAUAAAGUAAAGUGUCCAGUAUUUGUUGUUAGGUGGACUCCAGAAGGAAGACGGUUAGUCACUGGAGCCUCUAGUGGAGAGUUCACCUUGUGGAAUGGACUCACUUUCAAUUUUGAAACAAUAUUACAGGCUCACGAUAGCCCAGUAAGAGCCAUGACUUGGUCACAUAAUGACAUGUGGAUGUUGACAGCGGACCACGGAGGAUAUGUGAAAUAUUGGCAGUCGAACAUGAACAACGUCAAGAUGUUCCAGGCACAUAAGGAGGCGAUUAGAGAGGCCAGUUUCUCACCCACGGAUAAUAAAUUUGCUACAUGCUCUGAUGACGGCACUGUUAGAAUCUGGGACUUUCUUCGUUGCCAUGAGGAAAGAAUUCUCCGAGAUAUUCUUCACCUGGUUCUCUGACUUCCUGCUCUAAUUUGGACUGAUUGUCUUCUGUGCCUGUGACCGCAGUCAUACUGGGAUUUCUUUGCCUUCCCCUGUUAAGUCCACUCUGUUUUGUUUUUCAAUUUAGUUAAAAAUAUACUCCCCCCCUCCCCCCCUCCCAAAACAGUGCUUGAGAGGUAAAUUUCAAAAUUCUGAUGUCUGGAGAGGUCUAUAAUUUGCCAUCAUACUUGACUCAUAGUUUGUGUUUCAAAUUCUAGGUGUGAAAUUCUUUUCCCUCAGGAUUUUGAAGGCUUCCACUAUCUUCUGUCAGUUCUGCUGAUGAGAAGUCAUAUGCUAUUCCAGUUCUCAUUAUUUUGUAGGUACCCUAGUUUUCCCUUCUGAAUGUUUUUUAAAUGAUCUCUUUUUUUCUGUGGACUUAUUUUAUUUAUUAUUAUUUUUACUGUGAGUAUAGGUAUAAGAUUUUAAACUUCAUCUUCAUUGGCUCACUUUGAUCUACAAUCUCAAAUCCUUAUUCUAGUCAAAGGGUUUUUCUUUGAUUAUCAUUUCGUACUGUCUCUGCUUGUAUUAUGGAACUUGAUAUAUGAAUGUUGGACCUCUUGGAGGUAUCUACCGUGUAUUACCUCUUUCAUAUUUUCUGUUUCCAUCUUUUGCUUCAAGUAUUGGGAGAUUUCUUCUAUUUUAUCUUCCAGAAUAUGAUCUUCAGUCAUGCCCAAUCUGUUAUUCAGCCCUUCUGAUGAAAUUUUUAUUUUAUCCACUGCCGUGUUUAAUUUCCAGGACCCCCUAGUGGUUCUCUGGUCUUUCCACUUUUCACUUUUCAUGGUGGCCUGUUUUGUUGUUUGUUUUUUUGAAAUGCACAUACCCUUUAAAACUUUUAGCAUAGUAAUCGAGGUGUGUGUGUAUGAGUGUAUAUGUGUGUUUAGUCUGGUUGAGUCUGUUCCUAUUUGUUUUCCCUAGAACCAGUUAAUCUGUUUCUUUUUCCUGGUCUUUCUCUUUCCUCCUGUUUGAUUUUUCUCAAAUGUCCAGUGAUCCUUGGCCAAAUAUUUGAAUGAAGAUUUGUGUUGGUUAGUAUAAGUAGCUGUUUUUCAUUUCUUUUGCAGUUGAGUAAGUCCACUGGCCCAAAGGACUCUCUGCUCAAUAAUAGACCUCGCUGUGGACUCUGUGCGUGUGUGUAUGUGUGUGCACGUGUGUAGUGAGCUGUGUGGGGAAGGACAGUCUUGGAGUAAACGGGCACCUGCCACAAUUGCCAAAGUAAGAAAGUAAGUGUGUUGUAUUCUGAGAUGCAGUGCUCAGUUUAUUUCACCCUUGGGUGGAUGGAACUACCCUCCUUUCUCCCCUUCCCCCUCUCCUUUCCUCCUCCUCUCCUGUCUCAUCUCCCCUCCUCUUUCCUUCUUUCUCUCCUCUCCCUUCUCCUUUCCUUCCUCCAGGGUCAUAGUAUGGCAUUGGCACAAGCUUUGUGCUGCUUUUCCCUCCAGCCUUAAGUCCUGUUUGGGGAUUUCUUCCCAGACUUACUAUUGCUUUGUUUUAGAAAGCCGUUGUCUGGCUUUAGCUGAGUGCAGCUGUUCUAUAUAAAUGGGAAGGCAGGAGGAGGGGCCUGGACAAGUUGCUCUGUGGAGAGUUCUGUAAUUACCCUCAUUACAGCAUCACAGCCUUUGUCACUGAGCUGUCCUGGAGCGUAGAGUCUUUUUAAGGCCCCAACAGCCCUUUGUGUAUUUUGUGUUUUAUUUCUGUGCUAUGGUUUAUUCAUCACUGAGCCCAUCUAUUUUUGGAGAAUUGCCCACAUUUAGGUUGAAGUUUUUUGAAAUUUUCAUAACGUUUGUGGUCAGCGACAGUCGUGGGAAAUAAGUGCAUCCACUGUAAAUCUUUCAAAGUAAUUUACGAAGGGGCUUGCAUACAUAAUUUAACUUAGUAGUAAAAUCAUGAUUUAUUCCAAGACUCAAUUCCUUCUUCACAUUAGUGACCUUGAGACAGCUUCCCUUACAUCUCUCCUGGUAUUCUUCCUACUUCUGUCAUUUCUCCAUUUCUUAAGAAAUAUUAUACAUUUAAAUUUUUAAUCAUGUAUUUCUAGUUUAAGGUAAUCCAUGGCAUUUAGGGGAAUUUAGAGUAAGUGAUCAAUUAAAAUAACUGAAAGACACUUGAGUUAAACCUAGUAUUUUUCCCGUAGGUUUCUUUUUUCCUAGAAAUGUGUUAAUAAAAAUAGAAAAAAAUGUAGAGAGAAUUUUCAAAUAUUUACUUAAUAAAUAUUUUUAAAAAGUGAUUGGUUUUAUCUCAGUAUUGGAGACUGCCAUUUAGUCUAGCGGAAUUAACAGUAUUAUCUGUCAUCAGAAGUAUUACCUGUUUUUCUUAGUUACUUAAAACACAGUCAAAAUAAUAUAAUAAAGGCAGUGAUGGCCCCCAUUGUAGGUUUUCCAGUUCUCAGAGAGAAAUGGCGUUAGAUCACGUCUAAUACUUAGGUUGGAUGUUGGUAAUUAGAACUCUGUGUUCUUUUUAUCUUGGGUGACUUGAAGACUGAAAUUUAGCGAAGUCUUAAGAAGUCUCACUUGUGGGAAGUACUUUCAAAUCGAGCCAUUUUCUGCUAUCCCAUACUCUGUUCAUGGUAAUGACAGCUCUUGCUCUUAGCUCUACAUGGAAAUCUCUGUCCUUAUGGUGAGCUUUUUCAGGGCAGAGAUUGGAUCAAAACAAGAGUUCUUAAAAUUUGACCAUUCAAAAUGUGUGCUAGGCAUGAUGAUAAGUGCUUCAUACAUUUCAUUUAAUUCCUGAAACAAUCCAAAGAUUGAGUAGUCCAUUUUACACAUGGAAAUAUAAAGGCUUAGCAAGGGUUAAGUAAAUUAUAUAAGAUGGUAAAUGACAUUUGAGGUUUAAACAGAUCGAGUUCACUUCAAAUCUUUUUACUAAUAACCAUUGUAUAGCACAUGAGCACUAAACAUAGUACCUACAUGAAUUAAAUUAUAUUUAACAUAUCCUUUCCUUGAUUCCAAAUAAAACUGUUCUGACACUGUACCUGUGCGCCUGUUGGACAAAGCUCACUUUGUCUCGUGGUUAUUUCUUCCAGAGGGAGGGAGUAUAUGGUAGAUUGUAGGUGGAGAUGAGAAUUUUUGUGAUUCACGACGCUGCUCAGAGAGGAGGGCAAACUAAAACACUGAUCUGUUUUUCCUAAGAACACAAUUUUGGUUUUUUGGGUUUUUUCCUCUGGGCUUUUCAUCAUAUAUUCAUUCAUUCAUUCAACAAAGUACAAGAAGAUGGCAGAUUUUAAAACACCUCCACGAGGGAAUAAUGGGAAUAAUGGUAUUCUUUAUAAUAUGUUAAGUUUAAUUUGAGCUGGUUUGGAUUUUCACAUUUCCUAAUCAGUAUUACUUGGUUUCCACAUUUCUAGAACGGUCAAACAUUUUUUUUCUUUCUGAGAUUUAUGGGCAGAAUUUUGAAAAUUUAUUAUACGUCUUCAUUUCAUUUAUAAUGAGGCUUUGGCUGGAUUCAGAAUUCUGGAUUCAAAGUUUCUCCCCCACCUUAGCACUAUCAAGAUUUUGUUCCUCUGUCUUCUUGCUGCCAGUGUUUUGAUGAGUAUUAUGGUGGUUGUGGAAUGGCCCUCAGUUGGGUUUUAGCUGAUAUUUUUCUCAUGAUUGGUUUUGGUUUUAUGGGAUUUGGGGAGGUAGACCACAGAGGUGAAGUGCCAUUUUUAUCACAUCAGAGCAAGAGGGUGUAUGCUAUCGACAUGACUUGAUGUUGACUUUGGUCAACGGGUUGAAGCAGUGUUUGUCAGAGUUCUCCAGUGUAAGGCUACUCUUUCUCCCCCUCUCCAUACAGUUCUCUUUGAAAGGAAGUCGUGAAGCACAGCCCACACCAGAGGGGUUGGGAAUUACGCUCCACAUCCUUGAGGGUGAACCUAAGUUAUUUGGAAUUUUCACGUAUGAGAAAUUCAGCUCUUCUCCCCCUCUUAUUUAUUAUUUAUUUAUAUCAGUAUGGGCUAAUGAAUAUUUUAUUGGAAUAUGUUUUCACUAUGAUGGAAACUAGAUAAUAGGACCAGCUCCCAGUUGAGGUUUUCUCCAUUAUCUUAUUUUCUGCUUUGAAACAGAAAUGAAGAUAAUUAUCAAGAUCCAGUUGGAGUGUAAUGCCAUAUCAGAAUAUUCAUUUGUAGGAAAAGUUUUAGUUAUAGGUAGAAAUCACACAAUGUGCUGGGAAUCAUGUGAUAUAUACUUAACCCCAGCAGUGUUUAGGGGUUCACAUAACCCUUUUGUUCUGGUACAGGUAAAUUUCUAUAAUCUUGCCAUUGUUACCUUCCUUUCUUCCAAGAGGUGAAUAGUAGCAGAUGGAGAGGAUUAUAUAGGGAACCACAUUUACCAAAAGUGUGCAGAUAUACCCAAGAAUAGUCUGGCAAAACUCAGAGAUUCAAAGUACAGUUGAUGCUGUGCAUGGCCAUGAUUGCCAUGGGGUUAAUUAAUUCUACUUUGACCAAGAUUAUGUGUUGCUUUUAUGUAUCUAAACUUCAAUGUAAAAAAACAGUCUCCUUAAGAUGGCCAACUGGGUGAACCAUAUUUUUUACCUUGUUUUCAGAAGGAAGGCUUACUCUAGAAGUACCCUAAAGUAUCAUUAUAAAUGGUUUUGCUUUUUCUUUAUUAGGAGUUUCAAUCAUGACUUCUGUUCAUUCUUGGCCAAGGUACCUGCUGGCACUAAUAACUUUAUUAUUAAUGUCACAUAGGUACUGCACUUUCUGGUAGUCCUGCUCAUUCUUUUUUUUUGCGGUACGGGGGUCUCUCGCUGCUGUGGCCUCUCCCGUUGCGGAGCACAGGCUCCGGAUGCGCAGGCUCAGCGGCCAUGGUUCACGGGCCCAGCUGCUCUGCAGCAUGUGGGAUCUUCCCGGACUGUGGCACGAACCCGUGUCCCCUGCAUCAGCAGGCGGACUCCCAACCACUGCGCCACCAGGGAAGCCCCCUGCUCAUUCUUUUAAAGGAUUUUUUGGAUUUACAUUUUCUUUCUGAUUUUUCAAGCAAUGGCUAUAUGCUUUUCUUCUUGAUCCUUUAAAAGAAUAUUGUGUCAUCUGUAUAUUACUAUUGAAUUAUGAAUGUGUGCAGAAAUGUUUACUAGAGAACUUUGACUAAUUACGCACGUGCUCACACACACACACACACACACAUACACAUGCACACACACGCACACACCAGUGUACCCUUUCUUACAAAGGACUUUGUGACUGGUUUCUGCGUUGCGUGGGACCCCAGGUAUCUCCCAUCCCAGACAAAUGGCUGAAGUGCUUUGAUAUAUUGAUUGUUAACAUCCAGCAAUUGGGGGAGUACAACAACAAUGAGGCUGAAAGAAUAUUUGGUUGUUGCAUUCCUUUGCUUUAAUCUGCUUUGAUAAAUAGUCUCCAAAAUAGCCUUGUACUUUUUUGAAUACUUUAAAUUUUUAAUUGGACUCAGAAAUUAUAUACUUAGUCAUAUAUUCAUAAUUUUUUUCACUUUAUGCCAGAAGUAGUUACAUGGCAUUAAUCUUAUGAGAUGUGUGUUUAAUUUCAAUUUUUAACCUACUUGACAAUUUCAUUUAGGUCAGCCUUUGUCAGUACCAUGUAAAUACAUGGUACAAAUAAAUAGAAACCAUUUUACUUGCAUAUGCAAAUUAAAUAUAUAAGUUAAGUAGAAGAUGGGCAAAUUUAUGAUGUGCCUACCCCCUGUGCCAUUUGAGUUUGUUUUUGUUUGUAUACUGGAUGCUUUUCUGACACCGUAUGUUUAACUGUUUUUUAUAACACUUUUCUGUGUUACCACUCAGCUCUGUCAAAUCCUUACAUUUUGCCAUACUUAUUUCUGAAUUUUAAAAAGAAGUACACAUUACACACAUUGCAGAUAUGGUUAAAGGUCCCUUUAGUUGCUCCUCUCCUGCUCCAGAGGUGUCUGCUGACCUGAAUUUAGGUUCAUCAUUGCCAGACCACAUCCUAAGCUAGCAUUUCAAAAUUUCACAGAUUGGUCUUUUGAGGGACUUGGAAGUAUUCUGAGAAAAAAAGGCUUGCGGUCAAAUGUUCACCUACAGAUUUGUAAUACAUAUUGAAAGCACUGAAGGCUCUCAGACAUGAAAAGAAACUUGUCAAUUUUUAAAAUUCAGCAUUGCCCAGCUAUUUGACCGGAGAAACCCUUCCCCCAUGAUUCUGCGCACUGUUGUUGCUUGGAAUAUGCUUUGUGUAAACACUGCCUAGAGGUGUACUCUUUCCAAAAUUUAUUUUCCAUUUAAUUUUAUAGUUUUUUACUAAUGUAACUUUCUAGAUUUAAAUGACAAAGAUAGUAAUUACUUCCAGUUGAUGUUCAGUGUUCGAUCAAAUUUAAAAUCAUUCUGCAAAAAAGGAAGGUAAAAAUGUUAAUAAAUUGCAUAUUCAUUGACCAACAUACAAGUUGCUUAUGCUCCUUAAUUUUUUAAAUUCUUGAUUCCGCUGACCUACUGAAGUGUUUGGCUAUUGACCAUGGCUACACAUACCCUUUGCCUUGAACUGAUCUGUUACAUUUUAUGUUCUUGUGGCUGGAAGUAGCUUGAGUUUGUUAAUGUUUGACACACUUUCUUGAAUAACAGUUCUUCAGCUGUUAAUGUUGUACAAGGUGGCGCUUAAAUUUUGUUUGCUUUUUUUCCUUCCUGUAUUAGAAAAUCUUGGUGCUUUUUGUAAGCUAUGUAUAAAAGAAAUUUUCCUUAAGAUUUGUUCAUAUGAUGGUCUGAUCCAGGAAAAAUAAAAUGGGAAAAUGGACACUAUUUCUGACCUUCAAAUAAAA